GGCACUAGCAUUCUUUUAUUUUUUUAAGAAGGAGGAUCAACCCCGGCCUCUGCAUCCGACAGAUGCAUACGGCUAUAUUAUUAAAAAGUGCCAACAAAAUACAAAGUCUGAAAAUAGUUCAGCUCGCAAACGGAGCAAAAUAAAAAAAAAGUCUGAAAUCAAAAAGCCACAACUGGCAUAACAACAAGAUACGAUGACUAGACACCUAUCCUAUUAAUAGGACACCAUCCAAACCGGUUGAAGAUACCCCGCGCUACCAUCUUCCAACGGUUGCACCCAAUAACCAAAGGCUCUCUGGAGUCCGUAGGAGUGAGUAACGACCACGUACGGAUCCAUGUCGUAGCUCUAAAGAUGAUCUGCAAGAAUUUAAAAUAUUUUGUUUGUUAAAGAUUAUAUCAUUCCUGCAGUUCAAUAUAGCCCACAAUAAAGCACAUAUUCCUAUCCGAAUCCGUGCCGCAAUAGCUGAGUCUACUCCAGUUAACCACGUCCCAAAUAACGUGGCUAAGCAACUUCGCGAGAGGGCACUCAAUGAAAAGGUGUUGUAUCGUUUCAUCUCGAUCACAAAAACAACAACAUGCACUUCCUACGCAUCUUCGCCUAAGCAAAUUAACUCUUUCCAGUGGAAGUUAACUGCAAAUGGGGUGUUUACGGUCAAAUCUUUAUACAUGGAUCUAAUCAACUCUGGCUCAAUCCCAAGAUCGACUCAUAUUUGGAAGAUCAAGAUUUUCUUACGAAUUAAAAUUUUUUAUGUGGUUUGUUCACAUGCAAGUGAUCCUUACUAAAGACAGGCACUAGCCAGGGCCGUCUCCAGGAAUUCGGGACCCCGGUGUGAAAUAUAAAAUGGGGCCCAAAAAUUUGCGUCAUCCGUCUAGUAUUUCUUAAAACAAAAUUUUUAAAUCAACUAAAUCUACUCACACAAGAAAAAUACAUUGAGUCAUUCUUGGAAUGAAGUAUGCUAGUAGUGCAGCAGGAGAGUACACAAAGAAGGAUCAGUACUAGAAUAAGAAAUUAGACAGGUACUGUGUUAAUCCUAGAGUCAUGCUAUACACACGACAUAAACAGACGAUUGACGCACGAUGAAUGAAAUCUGGCCGGACAUGCGUCUGAUGGAAAGAGCACCGGCCGCUGGAUUUUCUAUCGUGCAUACGUUGGGCACAAGGAUCGUGCAUGGAGCAGUUUCGUUAAUCCUAUUAGUUUUGAUUAAAAUAAAGCCUACUCGAGUAGCAUUGCUGUACUAGUAGAGAUUGCAUUCGAUACAGCGCUAGGAUAACAUCAAAAGAAUCAACGAUGUUACAAGAAAGAAAUAACCUUUAAGGCAUUGUUCGGUUCCUUGAGAUUUGAAGGGGAUUGAGAGGGAUUAAAGCUCCUACAAGUCAAAAUCCAUCUCAAUACUCCCCAAUCCCCCUUGUGACCGAACAAACCCUAAUUAGUUUUCCGUUCAUCAAUUUUGAUUCCGGCCAUAUGGUAACGGCUUACCUUGGAAAAUAUUGAGGGAUGGCGAGAUGAGGCUGCUGCGGUAGCGAAACAAGCGGCGACGGCCGGACACAGCAGACUCGCGGUGAGCGACCGCAAUCUAUCGGCGGCUCGUCCCCUCGUCGAAGCAGG
rnacentral:lncRNA from 1 species